GACGAACGCUGGCGGCGUGCCUAACACAUGCAAGUCGAGCGGGGUCCAUCCGGUAGCAAUACUGGGGAAGACCUAGCGGCGAACGGGUGAGUAACACGUGAGAAACCUGCCCCGAAGUCUGGGAUAACCCGAGGAAACUCGAGCUAAUACCGGAUGCCUUCUUCUGAUCGCAUGGUCGGAUGAAGAAAAGAUUUAUCGCUUCGGGAGGGUCUCGCGGCCUAUCAGCUAGUUGGCGGGGUUAACGGCCCACCAAGGCGUCGACGGGUAGCUGGUCUGAGAGGACGAUCAGCCACACUGGGACUGAGACACGGCCCAGACUCCUACGGGAGGCAGCAGUGGGGAAUAAUGCGCAAUGGGCGAAAGCCUGACGCAGCAA
rnacentral:rRNA from 1 species